rnacentral:rRNA from 1 species
AUGAACUUCUGUCUGUUACUUAAACACAUUUCCAAGCUGCAUGACGAGCAAAUCUCACGAGAGACUAGAUACAUGAUCUCCAAAUAUGGCUGGUCGACCACCAAUGAUGUGGGCAUGUCAGACAACCAGCAUACCCCGAUUUGGAAGGACAUCAUGAAAGGCCUCACCCUUUUCGGGGACUCUACCAGGGUCAGCAUCGGUAAUGGAGUCACUACCCCCUUCUGGCUAGAUCUUUGGCUCCCUCACUCAUCCCAAACCCUAGCCCAACAAUUCCCGGCCCUGUUUUCUCACUACAACCGAGUCCACACUUCGGUGGCACGCGCUUUGGCCUCGAACCUAACCUUGGACCUAACCCCUAGGCUAUCUCACGCAGCCGAUUGCGAACUGCUUGAACUACGCACUAUUUUGGCCAUGGUAAACUUGAAUUUGCAGGUAGCUGACAGGAGAACUACAAGGGAUGCUGGGAAACCUUUCACCGCUACGCUUGCAUACCACGCGGUUUGGACGGCAAAACCCACAUACACGCUCGCCCCGGCCAUUUGGCAAAACUACGCCCCAAAUAAAUGCCAGCUAUUCCUCUGGCUUGCACGCAAGGACCGCCUCUUCACGAAUGAGCGACGCUUCAGACGUGGCAUUUCCACUUCGGCCGCGUGCCCCUUCUGCGACCACGGCGAAUCCAUCAACCAUCUACUCUUCGGGUGCCAGCACCUCGCUCCUCUUUGGGAGGAGCUUGACAGCCUAUGUCCAGAUGCACCGCAGGGGCUGCUCCAAGCAUGGGAGGGUGAAUGGCACAACGGAACUAGAUCAACAGUUCUGCUGGCCGUUCUUUGGAACAUCUGGAAGAGAAGGAACGCCAAGGUUUUUCGGAACAUUCAACUUGGGCUUCAUGAUGUUGCAGGCUCCGCUGCGGAUGAUCUUAAACUUUGGUCCCACCGCUGUAAUAAUGUUCAGAAGCAAAUUAGGCUCCGGGACUGGGGCUCCAUGUUGUUUCACCUUGCCGGGAGAUUAUAG